rnacentral:tRNA from 1 species
GGUCGCUUGCCGGAGUGGUUGAACGGAGCGGUCUUGAAAACCGUCAGGCCUGAAAGGGUCUCCGGGGUUCGAAUCCCCGAGCGACCG